CAUGCAAGUGCCUGUAUGAGUGUUUAUNCANCGAAACUGCGAAUGGCUCGGUAAAACAGCAAUAAUUUCUUCGGGGAUAUAUNCUNCCGGAUAACCGUAGUAAAGCUAGAGCUAAUACGUUCCAUUAUAGCGCGAGUAAUCAUGCUUGUGGUACUAAGUAUUAGGUACAACCCAGAUUUUUCUGGUGAUUCAUACUUAUCUUCUGAUCGCACCUCGUGUGCGACGCCCCGAUUAAAUUUCUGACCUAUCAAGUAUGAUGGUAAGGUAGGGUCUUACCAUGCUUUUGACGGGUAACGGACCGUGGGUGCGGGAUUCCGGAGAGGGAGCCUGAGAAACGGCUACCACAUCCAAGGAAGGCAGCAGGCGCGCAACUUACCCAAUCCGAACUUCGGGAGGUAGUGACAAAAAAUAUCAAUAGGGGGACCAAUGGUCUUCCUAAUUGGAAUGAAAACAAUGUAAACACCUUAUUGAGGAACCAGCAGAGGNCAAGUCUGGUGCCAGCAGCCGCGGUAAUUCCAGCUCUGUAAGCGUAUACCAAAGUUGUUGCAGUUAAAACGCUCGUAGUCGGAUUUUGGCGUGUACAUCUGAGACCCUGAUGGGCGUUGAAGGUUUGUUACCGCCUUUGCGGAGGGGGGUGCGGUGGUGCUUUAUUGUAUUGCCGCAUUUCCGCCGCUGUUUACUGUGAAAAAAUUAGAGUGUUCAAAGCGAGCGAUUGCCAUGAAUACAUUAGCAUGGAAUAAUAGAAUAGGACCUGGUUCUGUUUUAUUGGUUUGUCGGUAUCAGGUAAUGAUUAAGAGGGACGGUCGGGGGCAUUUGUAUUCCAGGGUUAGAGGUGAAAUUCUUAGAUCCUUGGAAGACAAACAGCUGCGAAAGCGUCUGCCAAGGACGUUUUCAUUGAUCAAGAACGAAAGUAAGGGGAUCGAAGACGAUCAGAUACCGUCGUAGUCCGUACCAUAAACUAUGAGGCCUAACGAUUUUGCGAGUCCAUUUUGGUACGCAAAGCAGUUUCCGGGAAACCAAAGUUUUUGCUUUCUGGGGGGAGUAUGGUCGCAAGUCUGAAACUUAAAGGAAUUGACGGAAGGGCAUCACCGGGUGUGGAGCCUGCGGCUUAAUUUGACUCAACACGGGAAAACUUACCAGGUCCAGACAUAGUGAGGAUUGACAGAUUGAGAGCUCUUUCUUGAUUCUAUGGUUGGUGGUGCAUGGCCGUUCUUAGUUGGUGGAGUGAUCUGUCUGGUUAAUUCCGUUAACGAGCGAGACCUGGGCGUGCUAAAUAGGGUUUGUUAUUCUUGUAAUAGCAGCUAUGCCCUUCUUAGACGGACUGUAGGCUUUUAGUCUAUGGAAGCUCCAGGCAAUAACAGGUCUGAGAUGCCCUUAGAUGUUCUGGGCCGCACGCGUGCUACACUGAACGGUUCAAUGGGUAAGGUAGUGCGAAAGCAUGACCUAAUCUCGAAAUCCGUUCGUGCUGGGGAUAGAAGCUUGCAAUUAUCCUUCUUGAACGAGGAAUACCUUGUAAGCGCGAGUCAUCAUCUCGCGCUGAAUACGUCCCUGCCCUUUGUACACACCGCCCGUCGCUCCUACCGAUUGAGUGGUCCGGNGAGGCUUUGGGAGGACUGGAUGGACUGUGUUUCACAGACUGUUUGGUCUGAACUUAGUCAAACCUUACUACUUAGAG
rnacentral:rRNA from 1 species